GAAACUUUAACCUAAUGUCUUUCUUUUAAAUACGUGAAAUGAAACAAAUUAGACCCACAACGGCGGCUACGGUGAUAUAAUUCUUCUAGGUCUCCUUCACUCUGCUCCCAGAGUUCUUGCUGGCCUUUGGAAUCCUCUGCUAAUGGUGCCUUAUCAGUCGAUUGCUUCUUUUCUGCUUUUGAUACCGUCGUAGACAGGAAGGAUUGAGAAAGCAAAGUUGCGACUUGGGAGGAGAUCGGCUACAGACGAUAUAUUAUUUAAAAUUAAGAUGAGAUUUCCUUCUGAAGUUCGAUGUCUCCACUGAUUCGAAUAUGAAGUCCCUCGAUCUCUCUUUCUCUGCUAAUUAUUAUUCAUACAUUUUUGUUCAUUGAUAAUCAUACAAUUAAGUUUAGUUAUUUUAAGGUUUUUAUAGUGUGUAGCUUUGAUGAUAUUAUUUGCUUGCAAAAUUGGUGCUUUAUUGAAAUAUUUGCUGCUUUUAUGCAGCGCUUUCAUAUGUUCGUAUGAUAUCUAGUUUGGAGUGCUUAAGGGGAAGGUAAAGAUUGUUUUUUUUUUGGGUUAUCUAAGCAAAUUUUAUUUUGUUUUUGAUAAAGCAUUAAUUAAUUUUGUUUGAUUUUCCAUCUUGCUUUAGAGUAAGGAAUUUAUUGUCUAACUCUAAUUAGUGUAAUGAAUGUUAUCAGGUUUUUCAUCUAAAGAUACUCAAAUGGUUGAUUGUUGGCUCAUACGUCUAUUCCAAUGUAAAGAUUAAUCAUUGGCGUCAAUUUCUUGGUAGGAGGAAUGUGAAAAUGAGAUAAUUCUUUUUUCAAUUCUAACACUGAUUUCAAAUAGGAUACAAAUAUUCAGUGAUCUUAAUUGGCAUUUGGCAAGCUGAUUAACAAAGAGUUUUGCUUGAUAGUGGAGUUUGGACGAAACUGGCUAUGCAUGUAUCUUUAGUUUUGCCUCUAUUUGGUCUUGUUCUAAAAAGCUAUAUUUUUAAGUUUUCUUUUGUAUUUUUUGUUUACUUAUAUAUGAUAUAUCAAGUAUGCCUCACUCAAAUGAGCUCUGUUUCUCGCAGGGUUACAUUUAGAUGUAUUCUUGGUAUGGAGCUCAAUUUAGGUGUAUGCUAGUUUUGGAGCUCCGUGUUUAUUCCUUGUACAGUAAACUUCUGCUAGGUGAAUAAAAUGUGCUCCUUAACGGUGGUUGCUAAAGUUAGGAUUGUUGAUUCCAAUAUCACCAAAUUCAAUACUCCACCAAACUUUUACCAGAGUUGUUUAACAUUUAAAUUGUUGUGUAUCUCUGUCAAAUUCAUGAUAAUAUUGUCCUUGAUUUCUGUUAAGGUAUGUAAUUGAUUGUUGCAGUCUUUGUAAGUUAGUUUUAUUUGUUAUAUUUUUUGGAUUAGGAGAUACUUUACUUAGAAAGAUAAGUAUUGGACUAUAAUAACAUACAACUACUUAAGCGAUAGCUGCUAUCUUUGAUUAAAUCCUACUGCAUAGUUUAUAGAGUUACCCAAUAUCCUUUCUGUUCUCUUCUAGGGGAUUUAUUACUUAAAGUUGGAAUUCUGCAAUAAUUAGUGGUAUUAGCCAUCAUUUUGAUCAUCACCUCAGAUAAUCCUUUUCUUGCAAUUCAGGAUAUUAACAAAUGAGUAGGCACUCAAGCGACUUGGAGAGGAAGCUCCUAAAAGAAAGUAGCAGAAGGAGUGGAAAAAAGAGCUGAAGAAGUGAAGAUAUCUCUUGUCUCGAUAUUAGUUUGAAUCCAGCAAUGUUUAAUUGUAAAGGUUUAUAGCUAUUCACAAUUUUAUUCUUGUAUAGGGAUCUUAUGUUUGCAAAUAUUUUUUUUGUUUAAAUUCUCUAUGGUGAAUGACAUUUGUAGGUACAAUUUGAACUUUGAUGGUUAUACUUUCCUGUUAAUGGAAUAAAAUUUUUGUUUCUACAUUAUAGGAUGUGUUGCAUAAACAUCAAUGAGUAUUUCAAUUUUGAC
rnacentral:lncRNA from 1 species